UCUAAACGUGUCACUACAACUCAUGAUACACCAUCUGAAAAUAUGCCACAGCUUGUAGCAACAAUCUGCCACAUCUCUAAAUACUACUUUGGACCAGACAUGCCUCAUGCCACAUUUCUUGAGAAGAACACCUACAAAUGCCAUCUGUAUGGGAAUUUCGGAGGCUAUAGUGAUGCAGGAGCUCUGAUGAUGACCUUGCACUUUCCUCUUGGUGUCAAGAUAUUAUUCUGCCUCAUGUUAAGAAAACAGCUUGGUCCAACCAAUUACUCUCAAAUUAAAGACUUUUUUUUCUACUGAUAGCAUAACUAAUUUGCCAUAUCAUACUCCUAUCAGUGUCAACAACCUGAUGAGAUGUCUAUAAAAGAUAAACAUCAUCUUUUCCCUUUUGUUUCAGAAAAUGUCAAUUCAAGGAAAUAAAUUCAACAGUUUUCUCCUUC